AGCGGCGGACGGGUGAGUAUGCGUGGGUAACCUGCCCUAUACACACGGAUAACAUACCGAAAGGUAUGCUAAUACGAGAUAAUAUAAGAGAUUCACAUGGAUUUCUUAUCAAAGCUGAGGCGGUAUAGGAUGGACCCGCGUCUGAUUAGCUAGUUGGUAAGGUAACGGCUUACCAAGGCGACGAUCAGUAGCCGACCUGAGAGGGUGAUCGGCCACAUUGGAACUGAGACACGGUCCAAACUCCUACGGGAGGCAGCAGUGGGGAAUAUUGCACAAUGGGCGAAAGCCUGAUGCAGCAACGCCGCGUGAGUGAUGAAGGCCUUCGGGUCGUAAAACUCUGUCCUCAAGGAAGAUAAUGACGGUACUUGAGGAGGAAGCCCCGGCUAACUACGUGCCAGCAGCCGCGGUAAUACGUAGGGGGCUAGCGUUAUCCGGAUUUACUGGGCGUAAAGGGUGCGUAGGUGGUCUCUUAAGUCAGGAGUGAAAGGCUACGGCUUAACCGUAGUAAGCUCUUGAAACUGGGAGACUUGAGUGCAGGAGAGGAAAGUGGAAUUCCUAGUGUAGCGGUGAAAUGCGUAGAUAUUAGGAGGAACACCAGUAGCGAAGGCGGCUUUCUGGACUGUAACUGACACUGAGGCACGAAAGCGUGGGGAGCAAACAGGAUUAGAUACCCUGGUAGUCCACGCCGUAAACGAUGAGUACUAGGUGU
rnacentral:rRNA from 1 species